UACAGAGGGGGCAAGCGUUGUUCGGAAUUACUGGGCGUAAAGGGCGCGUAGGCGGCCUUCUAAGUCGAACGUGAAAUCCCCGGGCUCAACCCGGGAACUGCGUCCGAUACUGGAAGGCUUGAAUCCGGGAGAGGGAUGCGGAAUUCCAGGUGUAGCGGUGAAAUGCGUAGAUAUCUGGAGGAACACCGGUGGCGAAGGCGGCAUCCUGGACCGGCAUUGACGCUGAGGCGCGUAAGCCAGGGGAGCAAACGGG
rnacentral:rRNA from 1 species